UACGUAGGGGGCAAGCGUUGUCCGGAUUUAUUGGGCGUAAAGAGCGUGUAGGCGGCUAGGUAGGUCCGUUGUAAAAACUCGAGGCUCAACCUCGAGACGCCGAUGGAAACCAUCUAGCUAGAGUCCGGAAGAGGAGGGUGGAAUUCCUGGUGUAGCGGUGAAAUGCGCAGAUAUCAGGAAGAACACCCGUGGCUAAGGCGGCUCUCUAGUACGGUACUGACGCUGAGACGCGAAAGCGUGGGGAGCGAACAGG
rnacentral:rRNA from 1 species